GUGACAGCGGAAGUCUUUUUAACACAGGAUCUUUUAAUAAUUUAAACUGCUCGUUUCAUAACUUUAGGGAUAAAUUCCCGAAAUUUACAAUAAUCGGUCAAACGAAUCAAGCACGAGAAGAAAAGCGUAUUGGGGAUGCGAGCAAGGUUUUUAUAUUUACUGUUUGGGAUUAAGAUGUUAUUUAUACUUUUUUUUUUUUUUUAAAAUAGCAUAUGUUCAUUUGUGUACGUAAAGCGUUCGUGAACAAAUUUAAUUUCUGAAUGAACAAACACGAACAAUAAUUUUCAUUCGAUAUUUGUUUGUGGAUAAGUUCAAUGCUAAACGAACGACCAUGAACAAGUCUUCAUUAGUCCGUUUAGAUUAGCACGUUUAUAGCCCUGUCAAUGAGAGAUGGGUAUACGUGAAUAAUAUCUCCACUAAUCGAGUUGUUCUUCUUUAACAAUAUUCAGUGACUUCCUUAAACCUGUCGGCUUGUCUGCUCAAGACCAAACUAAGUAUUAGAACCCGUUUUCUAUAUCAUGUUCAUCAUAUCUCCUAAUUGGCUUCAAGAGUUCACAACUUCAAUCGUUUUUAGUCUCUACUAUCUCCUAAUUUCCCCAUCAGAUGUUUGGCCACACACUCGCAUGCCAUAAUCAGAGUUAGGCUUUGAGGCAAUUUUCUUUAGGCAUGUCUAUAGGAAAGGAAAUCAUGGAACCAAGUCUCCUUUAACAUGAAGAAUGUUGCUUUAGUUUUCUUAUUUAGCUUUGAAGAAGAGUUUUAGAUGGUCCUUUCAACAAUUUUUCUUUAUUUUCUUUAUUAUGUGAGGUUCAAUUUUUUCAACAUAAGUAUCCGUAUACCCAUGACAGUUGGGCAUUAGUUGUCUUUAACGCGUGAAAGUCCAACGGUUUUAACUUCUCUAUAAAGGUUUUUAACUUCUCUAGAAAAGGCAAGCCAGCUCAUGUUUCCAUUUCCCCAAAGUCAAGGUCAA
rnacentral:lncRNA from 1 species